ACGGGGCGCAGCAGGCGCGAAAACUUUGCAAUGUGCGAAAGCACGACAAGGUUAAUCCGAGUGCAACAUGCUGAAUGUAGCUUUUGGUAAAUGUAAAUAUAUUAUUGAAUAAGGGGAGGGAAAGUCUGGUGCCAGCCGCCGCGGUAAU
rnacentral:rRNA from 1 species